AGUCUGCAUCCCCAAUCAUAUCCCCAUAGACCCAUGUGAUCAGGCAGUUGUUUUUCUUCUGUGUUUCUGCUCCCACAGUUAUUCCUCUGAAUGUGGAUAGUGUUCUUUCUCAUAAGUCCUUCAGAAUUGUUCUGGAUCACUUCAUUGCCACUAAUGAAGAAGUCCAUUACAUUUGAUUGUACCACAGUGUUUCAGUCUCUGUGUACAAUGUUCUCCUGGUUCUGCUCCGUUCACUCUGCAUCAAUUCCUAGAGAUCAUUCCAGUUCCCAUGGAAUUCCCUGGAGGAGACUUUUGGGAGUCCCUUGGACAGCAAGGAGAUUAAAUCAAUUUAAAGAAAUUAACUCACAUUAUUCACUAGAAGGUCAAAUCCUGAAGCUGAAGUUUAAAUAUUUUGGCCACAUAAAGAGAGGAUAGAACACACUCAUUGGAAAAGACCCUGAUGUUGGGAGAGAUUGAAGGCAAAAGUAAAAGGGGAGGGCAGAGGAUGAGAUGGAUAGAUAGUGUAAUGGAAGUAAUGAACAUAAACUUGGACAGUCUUCAGGAGAUAGUGGAGGAGAGAAGGCAUUGGUGUGCUUUAGUCAAUAAAGUCAUGAAAAGUCAGAUACUACUGAACAACACUGUGUGUUUGUGUAACAUGUAUUAACCGACUUACAUGCUAUUUUCAACUUUGUAAAGUACUUUAUAAACCCUAUCUCAUGGGAAUUCCAGAAACUUGAUAAGCUACAGUCUCAAGGUGAACAAACAUUUAUUAAGCACUUACUAUACAUCUGGCUGGGUGAUAAGUACUCAGGAUGCAGAUACAAGCAAAAAGAAAGACAAUCUCUGCCCCCAAAGUAUGUACAUUCUAAUAGAGAAGAGAGUACCUAAAACAGAUAGAGAGACUGCAGUACCCAUGAGUAGUCAUGGUGACAAAAUCCAGAGAAUCAGAAUCAGAGCUGGGAUGGGAAUGAAGGAUGGGUAGACCCUUCCUCAAAAUGGAGUUUCUGUAAGGAAUUCAUCAAUGGGAGAAGGAAAUCACAAGGGUAAGAGGAUUGUAGGGGAUAAGAGAAUGCUUAUUGAUGCAUAAUAAUAAAAUCUGGAGAGUCAUAUAGUACACUUUCUUCAGUUUACAAAAUUUAAAUUACUUGCCCAAGGUGACAAAAGUCAUGAUUUGAAUCCAGGUCUUCUGACUCCAAUUUUAAUCUUCUAUCCUCUUUGAGAUACUGCCAAUCAUAUAUCCAUGUGACAUGGGCAUAGACACAAAUAUAGUUAGGGAGUGAAUAUUAUAAGUGCAUGCAUAUGCAUUUACAGACAUAUAAUUCUUCUCCAUGGAAGUUAUUUAGCAGUACUGUCACUCAAAUAAUUCAAUUUAAAUUACUUUAUCUGGAUUGAGAGGUUAUAAGUUGGAACAAGGUUGAAACCAGGUAUUUAUUGUUCUACCCAGUUCAAACUGUAGGAAGACGAGCCACUUUAUUGAAUCUCCAACUUGAUUACUCGAAGAAUAUAAGAAAGAGUGUAAUUUAGGCUGUUUAAGUUUAGUCUUUUCCCUCUCAGAGAGCCGGAAGAAAGGAAUGUUUCCCUUUUCCUUAGCUUUAGUUGCUAGGCAGCUGCAGUUUCAUUGUAAGGUAGAUUCAGUUAAGGUAAUGACAUCGCAGCUCUAAGAAUAGCAUGCUAGCUUUACAGGAAUUGCGUUUUUAGCCUACAUAUAGCAUAUAUUCAUGUGUUCAGGGUAUUCCAGGGGAAGAAAUACUCAUUUAACCAGAUUUGAUGAGUGUAGCGAGGCAAUGGAAAAUAGGCGAGCAUCUUAGAGCCUCACCUCUGAUCCAGCAGUGAUUCCAACUGAUAAGCAGGCUACUUUUGGUUUUAAGGAUUUAGGAAUGACGUCUGAACAUACAGCUGGACAACAGAUGAUGAAGAUGAUGAUGAUUGGCCUCUAAGUGCAACUGGUCUCUGUUGGCUGACUCUUUCUUUUAGAUUCUGCCCUUGGAAGUAGUAGGGAAGGAAGUUAAUAUGGUGAUUUUCAAAAAGACUUGAACUAGACCAAUGAAAAGAGAGAUGAUUCUUCAGCUAUAAAUGCUUUACUCUCAUAAGCAAAGUCUGUGUUGUUCUCGAUGAGUUUGAAAUAAAGUCAUCUUUGAAAAACUGAA